CGGGAUGCAUCGAGGUCCGUAGCCUCUGUAAACGGGGCUUUUUAAAGCUAAAUCUGCCACUGAGCUGAACAAUCCGAGUCUUCGCUCAUCUUUUUACUCACCUUUAUGGCUCUACAAUGUACUGGUGAACAUCGGAUCAACAGGUAGCAGACAGAAGCCAAAGACUUUCAGUUUUCUCCCUCAGAGCAGCUCCUGUUGCUCCCCAGCCUGUUUUUAACAUCACAUCAUUUCAUCGUUUUGCUCAGAUGCAUACAAGCGACCCGAAAACAGGACCCCAACAACGCCACGUUUCAGAGCUUUACCAGAAGCCGUAAUUAUGACUCGCUGCAUGGAGCGGGCCGUCCGAAGGCAGAGGUCGCUCUGGGACGGGGGUUAAAUUUGUUCUUCCAUGUGACGAAAAGGUUCAGUACAACCAGCUGACCCUCAGUUUCCCUGGCUACCACCGUUUGCAUACCUAACAUGGCUCUAGUCAUGUAAGCACAAUCAGCAGGACCACCGCACUCCACAGGACGAGGUAUCCACAGCACUACCAAUAUGGAUGAGUGUGUCUGCUCUUUAAAUAUGGUUUAGUUGUUUGGCUAUGAACCCAAAACCUAGUUUGAGCUCAAGUUUAAGAGUUGUUGGACCAAACUUUUAAAACAAAUG